GGGCGAUGAUGCUAAAUGGUAAGGCUUGUUUCUCAAAAACAUUCGCAGUGGCCGCCUAAGUGCUUUCGCCUUCGCCAGGCUUGAGAGUAUAUGCUGCUAUUUUCCUUCCUUGGAUGUCUGAGCCG